AGAGUUUGAUCCUGGCUCAGAACGAACGCUGGCGGCGUGGAUAAGAAUGCAAGUCGAACGCUGAUUAGAGGGUAGCAAUAUUCUUUAGUCGGAGUGGCGCAAGGGUGCGUAACACGUGGGUAAUCUGCCGUGAAGACUGGGAUAACUCGCUGAAAGGCGAGCUAAUACCGGAUGUGACUGUUGGAAGGCAUCUUUUGACAGUGGAAGCUGGGGACCGCAAGGCCUGGCACUUCACGAUGAGCCCGCGGCCUAUCAGCUAGUUGGUGAGGUAACGGCUCACCAAGGCGAAGACGGGUAGCUGGUCUGAGAGGACGACCAGCCACACUGGAACUGAGACACGGUCCAGACACCUACGGGUGGCAGCAGUCGAGAAUUUUUCACAAUGGGCGCAAGCCUGAUGGAGCGACGCCGCGUGGGGGAUGAAGGGUUUCGAUCCGUAAACCCCUGUCAUUUGCGAACAAACCUUGAGGGUGAACAGCCUUCAAGCUGAUUGUAGCGGAAGAGGAAGGGACGGCUAACUCUGUGCCAGCAGCCGCGGUAAUACAGAGGUCCCAAGCGUUGUUCGGAUUCACUGGGCGUAAAGGGUGCGUAGGUGGCCGGGUAAGUUUGGUGUGAAAGCUCGGAGCUUAACUCCGAAAUGGCACUGAAUACUAUCU
rnacentral:rRNA from 1 species